AUUUUUUGAUGUUCUUCCUAGAUCUGAAAAUUUAUUGGAAAACGGAUUUUGGUUUUUUUUUCCUUAGUUUUUAUUGAGGUGUAAUUGACAAAUAAAAAUUUUAUAUAAAUAUAGUGUAUAAAAUGAUGUUUCGAUAUAUGUAUACAUUGUGAAAUGAUUACUACAGUCAAUCUACUUAACAUAUUCAUCACCUCACAUAAUUAUUCUUUCCCCCCAGGUUGAGAGCAUUUAAGAUCUACAAUCUUCAAUUUUCAAUUAUGCAAUGUUAUUAUUAACUAUAGUCACUAUGCUAUCCAGUAGAUCCUCAGAUCUUAUUCAUCUUGUGUCCCUCCAUCCCCCUCAGUCCCUGGAAAAUAGGUUUUAAAGAUAGUUGCUAAUCCUUUUUUCUUUUAAAUUUUUAAAUCACUUGCUGCCUCAGUUUCUAUAUAAGGAAAUCAUUUCAUUUUUCUGUUCACGGUACCAUUUUCAUAUCAUACUAGCACAUGUUACCCAUUAACUAUAUUGCAGAUUUGGUCUCACAAAAUCAUUCUAAAAUAACAUUUUUUAAACGCAUAUUACUAAAAAAUAAGCUUUGUAUUUCUGAAGCUUGCUUGAUCAUAGUGUAUGCCUUUGGAUAAACUUGGAUAUUAUAACCUAGUAGAGUGUGAACUUUUAUAAUACAUACAAAUUAUUUUAUGAGAAUAUUCAUAAAUGUAGUUAUAAUUAGAUUAAUCAAAGAUUUUUGAUCAGAAAACUAAGGACUAUAUUGAAAAUCAGUCACAAAUUUAAUUCUUAUAGUACAUCUGAAAGGAAAAAGAAAACUCUUGGGAGAACUUUUACAGUGAUUUAAUUUUGCUGUUGAUGUAUUUCUUUGGGUGGUAAGUAUAGCAAAACAUGGAAACAUUUAAUACAAAGAGAUUUUGUACAUUUUUUCCAUCUCUAAGAAGGGCAAAGUCUAAGUCCCUCCAGUUAUAUUAGAAAAACUGAUUUAGAGAGUUCUUCAUGUUAAGCUAAUUUCUUCUUAAUCCAGCUGAAAACAGAAAUAGAACGAUCAUAUUAAUCAUUUUAAGCUGUGUAGUUGCAUUGAUGCCUUGUUCCUUUACCCCUUUCUCAUCUCUUGUUUCCUUACCUUUGUGACCUUUUUUACCUUAUAUAUAAGGAUCCCAAAGUACUAUUUAUUGUUGAUAGUUUACAAAAUUGAAUCUUAUAUUAGUGCAUAAUUUCGGUGAAUGUUGAAGAUUAUGGGAGAUUGCCUUACAUUUCUUCAUCAUAUUGUUUGCACCUUGGAGUGAUAGCACUGGCAUGAAUUAUAGAGCUGAGGAUCUAAAGAUGUUUACUUUGACUUAUCCCAUUAUCAUCUGGAGGGAAACAAUUGCUUUUACUGAUUUAAAAUAUAAAAGGCAAAUUAUUCUAUAUGUCAGUGAGUAAAUGCAGUACAGCACAGGGAAAAAAGACUGCUGGGAAGAGAAGUAUAGAGAAAUGGGUAAAAUUAAAAUGCAGUAGCAAAAGCAGUGGUAGAAAUUUAAACCAGAGUUGAUGAGCAGCAGAUAUCUUGGUAGUGGGAAAAAAAUCAGGUAAAAAAAUUUUUGUAAUAAAAUAGAAAAAUUAUGUAAUGUGGAGGCACAGAACACUAGAUUUAAGCUAGAGGGUCUUAUAUUGUGUUACAUACCUUAUAAAGGUCUGAUGGAAGCUAUAAAUGUUCUCCCACUAAAAAAUGUGCAUAGUGUACAUAAAAUUUUGCACAUUUAUAUUGAAACAUGUUCUUUUAAACAGAAUGUAAAAGAAUCUUCAUGAGAAGUAUGUCACAUUUUUUUUCGUGUAAAAACCAGUGGCCACUAUGUGAGAGCAAUGAAUAAAUCUAAAUGGUACAAAUUAACCAAAUUUAAGCUGUAGUUCUAUUUAAUACUAAAUUUUAAUGAAUAGGCUGCUAUUUAACUUUUAAAAUAACAAGUUGAAACUAUGUUCUUGUCUUUGACUUUGAAACUUUUUUUUUUUGAGACGGAGUUUCGCUCUUGUUACCCAGGCUAGAGUGCAAUGGCACGAUCUUGGCUCACCGUAGCCAUCGCCUCCUGGGUUCAGGCAAUUCUCCUGCCUCAGCCUGCUGAGUAGCUGGGAUUACAGGCACGCGCCACCAUGCCCAGCUAAUUUUUUGUAUUUUUAGUAGAGAUGGGGUUUCACCAUGUUGACCAGGAUGGUCUCGAUAUCUUGACCUCGUGAUCCACCCACCUUGGCCUCCCAAAGUGCUGGGAUUACAGACUUGAGCCACUGUGCCCGGCCUGACUUUGAAACUUUUAUGUAAUCUUUGAUAUCCAAUCAAUGUUGACUUUGGUGAGAAGUGCUGAAAACACUAUUUCACAAAAGAACAAAAGAGUAAAUGGAAACUGUAGAUUCUAUUGCCUUAUGAAAAUAGACGUGUUAAGAAAUAAGAAUUCUCCUAGACUCUUCAGAUAAAUUCAUGUUGCAUCAUUUUAUUUGCCUUCAAGUUACUGAGAUCAUGUUUGGCAAGAUCUGUAUCAUUAAUGCUGUGUUAGGAAGGAAAAGAUUAUGACUCCAAAUUUUGCUUUUAAGAUUGAAGAGUUAAACUCUUUAAAAAGAAUGUAUUUUAUCCUGUAAAGAGCAGUAUCAGGCUAUAGACUUUGUCUUCUGAACUUACAUAUAGUAAAGAACUUUAUAGUGCUCCCAUUUCUUGACAAAACCUCUUGAGGGCCGGGCGCGGUGGCUCACGCCCGUAAUCCUAGCACUUUGGGAAGCCAAGGUGGGUGGAUCACCUGAGGUCAGAAGGUCAAGACCAGCCUUGCCUUCAUGGUGAAACCCCAUCUUUAAAAAAAAAACAAAAAACAAAAAACACCUCUCGAGAAGCUCUUGAUUAAAAGUCUUGGCUUUCAUGAAUCUGGCAACUUUCAUAAUAGUAGAUUUUUCAUGACAAAUCCUCUUACACAGGCAGUUAUCAAGGAUUGGCACUUGAAAUGGUAGAAUACUUUCACAACAACAGAUAAGAUUUCUUUCAGGAUUGAUGACAGUCUUGCACCCCAGUGUAUAUUGAUGAAGAGAGCAGUGGGUGACAGUGACACAGAGAGCUUCUCUCUUUACCAGUGCCACAAAAUCAGAUGUGUUGUCUGGCAGUAAGGUGUACUGUCUGCCUACAGAAUACUGAGGUUUCUUCAGGAGAAGUUCUUUGGUAAAGAAACUUUACCAUUUUGAAAGUGUUCAUGUUUUCUGAAGUUUCUAAAAAGGACUCCAGAAUGGGAAUGUUUUCUUGAUUGUGUCACCAUAUUUGUAUUUGAUGAAAACUAGUAGCUGGCUAUACUGAGAAAUCAUAUCUGAAGAAAGGUGCUACUUUCAGUCUUCCUAGUUCAUUCUUUUUAGCAUCAGGGUUUUUUGGGGGAAUGGAUAAAAGUAUUUGCAACAGAGGUACUGCAACAGUCUUUUCUGCUUCAUGCUACAAAUAUGUUUGACUCUUUCUAGGAUACUUGCCUUCACCCGUUCAACUGUGUGACAUUUUUAUUUAUUUAGCAUUGCAAUCAAUAGCCUGGUAGGGUGAUAUAAUCAAGGAUUUUUAAUUGGAACAAAUAGUUUUUGUAAUGGUCUAGGCUUUUCCAACUAAACUGUGCUCUCACAUGUGGUCUCUUUUUCUCCCUCUUCCCUCCCUCUUAUACACUCCCACCCACAUACAUAUGCAUACAUACCUUGUCUGAUAUGCUGCUUCUUCAGAAUAGUUAGCUGUGCUCUGCUGAUGGUGACAACUUGCCACUUUGUGAAGGACUUGGGGUAGUCCAUCUCAUCAUGUCCAGGGUUGAAAGUAAAACCCAAGGAUAUUUAAACUUUAUUUUCUGUUUCCAGUCCAAAUUAAAUCCAAGAGAAGUCUCCAUAAUAAAAAAUUUGCCAGUGGGAAGAUAUUCUAGUCAUCACAGUCUGGUAAUACUAUCAAUUCUGUUUCUCUUCAGAGUUCAGGAGAAAAUAUUUGAUGAAGUUGUAAGUCCUGUAGGAUGUUAUGAAGUAGGGCCAGAAUGAAAGAUAGCAAGAAAAGUAGUUAUGAAAAUAAAAUGCAAAGCUUAUAGUAUCAUGUGGUAAAAUGUAAUAGUACCUACUUCAUCAGUAGAAUCGCUCUAGGCAUCUUCUCCAUCCUUAAUGUAGGUUGGAAGAUCCCCCAGGUGAAAGGAGAUGGUGGGCAAAUAGUAAAUAGAAAUUGGAGAUCUGUACAUGUAGUGUUAAGAAUGUAAGUAGUAAAAUUGUUAUGUUUUACUGUUACAUAAUAUUAAGACUUGGAGUUAAGGAAUUUCACUGAAGUUGAUCACUUUUUGUAUCUUGGAGUCAAAAUAAAUAAAUUACUUUACUUGGCUCGUGCUUAAUUAAUAGACCAUAUUAUGGGUGAAUUAUUCACAGGAUUGAAAGGAGUAUUCUAAUGUGUUCUUACCUUCUUUAUCCCUGUGUUUACUUAAAAAGGCAAAAAAAAAAAAAAAUUUAGGAGCAGAUGCUGUUGACCGUAUUUUGCUAAACAGUGGCAUUUGUGUUUAGACUGAAACAGCAUUAGAAAACUAGAUAUGGAUAAAAGUCAAUGGUAGAAUUGUUUUUUUCUUCCAGGGAUAUGUCUGAUAGAUGAUCAAACAGGCCCAGAAAGGGGAAGUGUUGCAAUCAAUAUUAAUCCAGUUAAUAAUAACAUUCACAGUAAAAUUUGAAUCCUCUGAUAUGCUGUUAAAUUUCUUUCUACACUAUCAAAUCCACAAAUCCUGGAACUGCAAAAGAAUUUUGAGACUGUUCAAAAUAAUUAAUCUCUGUACAAGGUCAGGCUCUCCUGUAAGGUUAUGUAAUGCUGAUGAAAUUGGUCUGUUUUGAAAGGCUCCUCAGCUUAUACCCUUUCUUACAAAUGCUAAAUCAUUUAGUGACCCCUGAUUUAAAGAGAAUUUGGAUAGAUUGAGGUUGUUGGUUUUGGAAAUAUAAUAUUGCAGGCUCCUGUAAAAUAUUUGAAAUGUCAUUGUUUUAAAACUUUCAAAGAUACCAUUUGUUGGCCUAUUGGUUAGAAUGCUAGUGAAAUAAAUUUUAAUCCUUUAUGAAUAAUUUCAUCAUAAAACUUAGCUAGGUAAAGCUGUUAUACAACUGUGGAAUUCUUCCUGAGAAGUAAAUAUCUUACAUAUAAUUGAUUAUCUAAAGUAGUUUCAUUCAUGGAAUAUCUGAUAAUAGGUUUAUCCUUCUCUUGUCAGUAUUUCCUUGUAGGUUGAGCCUGUGGAUUUGCGUUUUUUUAAUUGUGAAUCACUAUUAUAGCAGAUACAUAUAUUUUAUCUACUUUGCAGUUUGGGAUUAACUUUAUUAGAUUAUCUUUAAUGUUAUUUUGCUUAUAUCCUUAACUUUACAGACAAACAUGAAGAAACCGAAGAAAAUUAUGUUUUAGUGACAUUUAUAUAGAAGAAUAAUCUUUUUUUCCCCUUCUCUUUUGAAGAGAGACAAGGCAGUCAUCAUAUUUUUGUAAAGAAUUUGUAGACUUUGCAGAGCUCUCCUCAAAAUAAUCUGGCUCAGGGUCUUGGCAUAUCCUCAGCAGAUGUGGUACAAAUUAGAUGGCAGAGUGCUGGGUACCAGUUGACCAUAAAAUAAGGCAUUAGGUUAGUAAUGCUCAAAUAAUACUUUGGGUUUUGAGUGUUACACAGAAGUCAGACAACUGAUACUAUAAAGAAAAAUGUUCUGAGAGUGAGAUAACUGCUUGAGGGAAGGAAGGCUUCUUCUGUUUUUUAUUCACGAAUUUACAAGAAGACAAUUGUGUUAUACUUCCUUAGGAGUCAUUCAUUUGUGUAUUUGAUACUUUGGCUUUACAAACAUGUGACAGAUUAUUAAAACGCAAGCUGUGGGUGGUUUUUUUUCUUCCAAGAAAGCAUGCUGCAGGGCAACUUCUAGGGUUGGUUCUAAUCUAGUCCUAUGCUCCCACACAAUGUGCAGCUGCACUUAGGUUUUAGUAUUAGAUAGCUCACGUGUUUAUUUUAAACUAUGAAGAAAGAGUUAAAACAUCCUGAGAAUGCUAGUAAGUAUGUAUUUCAGAAGGACUCCCAAAAUUUGAGUUUAAAGAGGUAAACUCAUAUUACAUGACAAAGUUACUUAGAAUCACUGCUGUUUCCCUCUCUUUCCCUUACCUUCUCCCUGUCCCAUACAUACCCCCAACUGUGUUCCAGAAUGGCGGCACAUAAAGUAAUAAAGUAAUUCAUAUUAAUUUCCUUUUUUUUUUUUUUUUUGAGACUUGAUCACCCAGGCUGGAGUGCAGCAGUACAAUCUCAGCUCACUGCAACCUCUGCCUCCUGAGUUCAAGUGAUUCUCCAGCCUUAGCCUCUUGAGUAGCUGGGAUUACAGGUGCACACCAUCAUGCCUGGCUAAUUUUUGUAUUUUUAGUAGAGAUGGGGUUUUGCCUUGUUGGCCAGGCUGGUCUUGAACUCUUGACUUCAAGUGAUCCACCUGCCUCAGCCUCCCAAAGUGCUGGGAUUGCAGGCAUGAGCCACUGCCCCUGGCCCCUUACUUUUUCUUUGGUUAAACUUUUAGGAAAAAUGUUUGAGACACGUUAGAGAUAAACUUUCUGUAUAUUAGGACCUCUGUGUAUAUGAGUUCAUUGAGCUUAUUAAUGAGGAUAACUCUUCUAGAAAUAAUAGUUGUUAACUUUAAGUGAUCUAAAGAAAAGGAAAAUUUUUAGUUUUCUGGGGAAUGAAUAUUCAUGACCUAAUCUUAAAUCAGGUUAUUUUUCUAGUCUGUUUACUAAAUUUGUACAUAUUGUAACCUAAUGAAAUGUUCUUAUUUCCUCUUUAUUUAAAACAAAACUAUAAUUACUGUCUGUUAAAAAAUCUUCCCUCUAGCAUUCUUAUUUUUCCUAACAUAUUCUUAUUUUUCCUGGGCCAAACUAUGUUCCUAUGAUAUGCAUUAUUUAAGGCUGUUAUAUAAUAUAAUAAAAUUGUAUAACUUUCAUACCUUGGAGGAUCUUAGCACUUAUUUAAUUCAAACUCAUUCUAACAUAGAUGAUAAAACAAUUCUGCAGGAUUGGGCAUGGUGGCUCAUGCCUAUAAUCCCAGCACUUCGAGAGACUCAAGCAGGAAGAUUGCUUGAGCCCAGGAAUUUAAGACCAGUUUGGGAAACAUAGUGAAACGCUGUCUCUACCAAAAAAUAUAUAUAUAAAAAUAGCCAGGCAUUGUGUCACCUGCCUGUAGUUUCAGCUACUUGGAAGGUUGAGGUGGGAGGAUUGCUUGAGCCUGGGAGGUUGAGACUGCAGUGAGCCAUGGUCACACCACUGCACUCUAGCCUGGGUAACAGAUCGAGACCUUGUUUCACAAAACAAAACAAACAGAUCUACAAAGAUCAACCUGUCCUAAGUCAUAUAAUCUCUUUGUAUAAUAACUCAAGACACCAUCUUCUAACCUCAAACCUGGUGCUUUUUUUUUGCACAAAAUGAGUUCUGCUGUCCAAAUUAUUUAUUAUUUUGAUUCCUAAAAUAGAAAUAGAAACUAAGAAAAAUAAAAAGCAACUCCUUUAUAAUAUAUGAGGACUUUUUCAGUUUCAAAUAAAAAAAACCCAACUCAAAGUACCUUAAACAAAAGGAGACAUUUAUUGACUUACAUAACCUAAAAGCUCUCACCUGGAUUCAGGUGCUCAACAGAUCUCAAGAAUAUUUCUCUUUUUCUCUCUACCUUCCUUACCCUCCUCCUCUUUUCUCUCUUCUAUAUGUAUGUUAUUUUCAAACACGUUCCCACAAGUAGUGGCAAUAUAUAGUUCCUAAUAGCUUCAGGUUUACAUUCUGCCUACUUUACCAGCUCUGAUGGGAAGAGAGCUACAAUCGGAGCAAAAAUUUGUAGGGUGAGUUCUGAUUACCCUGGAUUGAGGCACAUGCCUAUUCCUGAACCAAAUAUUCUGGCCAGGGAAUGGAAUUCUCUGGGACAUGUGUCUAAAGCUGAUGUACAGAACCUGCCACCCCCAACACAGGGAUAAUAAUAGUUUUCCAAAGAAAAAUCAAGGAGGAGAAAGAAUGUUGGGAAGAGAAAGAAAUAUCAGCUGUCUGUUUCAUAUUUAUUCUCAACAAUUCUGUAGAUCGUCUACAACUAUUUAGUGUAUAACUUAAAAUUAGUAUCAUAGAACUGAAAUACCAUAACACUCUAAACUUUAGAUUAUUUGUAGUCAGGAAAAAUAAGAGAUCAAAGAAGCUGUGACUUCAUUCAAAUCACAUAGUUUCUAUACAUGCUGUUAGUAAAACCCAGGACACCUGAGUACAAGUUUUAUCCUUAUAUUCACAUUGAGGUCCAGAUCCUGGUUUUGAAUGAGAUAAUUAUGCAUAGUGGGACUGUUUUCUGAUCCUCAAAAUAGAGAUGAUAAUAUUUAUCUUGUAAAGUUGUGGUAAUGUUAAAGAUACAUCUAAAAUGUUGGCAAGUACCUUAAUAGAUGAUAACUACUGCUGUAUCUUGUCAUUGUAAUAAAAGCUGUAUUUCUUCCUUUGUUGAGUUGCUUCCCUUUAGUAAUCUUAUUGUGAUCAUUCUAAAACAUAGAUUUCCGUUGCUUCUUCAAGCAAACACCAUUAUGUUGAAACAUCUGCAUUAUUUCUAAGUUUAGCAGUACCAGUGGAAAGUUUACCGAAGUAGAAAAUUACUUUUUUAACUGAAGAGUGUAGAUUGUGAAUUCAUCUUAGAGAAGAUGAUCUGAAUAUUGAUGCCUAGAAUAUGAACAAAACAUUACAUAUCUUGUGCUAUGAUAUUAAAGUAGUAUCCUGUUCUGGUAGUAGUAUGGCAGUAUUUUAGGUCUGAAAGAUGUAUAUAAUCUAUACUUUAAAGUCUGUUUUUUAAGGGAUUAAUCACAAGAGAUUUACAUAAAACAAGGUUUAAAAUAAAUGGUGGAUUAGAGAUACAUCAGGCAAAUUUAAAUUUCAAAAGCAGAUGACAGGGUCUCAGUAUCAGAACAGCAUUUAAAGCAAAAAGCAUUAAACUGGAUCAAAAAUGUCAUUUUACAUUGCACAGGGUACAGUCCAGGGAAGACUUAGCAGUUAUGAACCAAUGUGCUAAUAAGCAUAACAUCAAAAUGUAUUAAGCAAAGAAUUCAUUUCUUCUGAAAGAAAUGAAGAAUAGUUGGUAGAAAAGCAGUGAUAGGAAUUUUUAAUGUACUUUAAAGGCACAAAGAAGGUACAAUCAUGUACCACAUAAUGAUGUUUGAGUCAGCAUCUGACCUCAUAUAUGACAAUGGUCCUAUAAAAUUAUAAUGGGACUAAAAAGUUUCUAUCACCUGGUGACUUUGUAGCCAUUGCAGGGCAGUGUAUUCACUCACGUGUUUGUGGCAGCGCUGGUGUAAGCAAACUUAACUGCUGUCAGUUGUAUAAAAAGCAUAGCACAGAUAGUUAUGUUCAGUAUGUAAUACUUUAUAAUGUUAAAUGAAUGUUACUAGUCUACAUGUUUAUAGUACUAUACUUUUUUAUUAUUUUAGCAUGUACUCCUGCUUGUUUAAAAAAUGUUAACUAUAAAACAUUCUUUAAGCAGAUCCUUCAGGUGGUAUUCCAGAAAAAGAUAUUAUUGUCAUAGGAGUUAGCAGCUCUAUGGAUGUAAUUGCCCUGUAAGACCUUCCAAUGGGACAAGAUGUAUAGGUGGAAGACAGUGAUAUUGAUGAACCUGACCUUGUAGAGACCAAGGUUAAAGUGUGUGUGUAUUUAUUAGUUUUUAACAAGAAUUUAUAAACAAUAAUAAUAAAUUUAAAAAUAGAAAAAAGGUUAUAGAAUAAGGAUAUAAAGAAAAAAAUUUUGUAUCGCUGUGCAAUGUGUUUUAAGCUAAAUGUUACAAAAGAGUCAGAAUUAAAUUUUUUUAUGUUUAUAAAGUGAAACAGUUAUAAAAUGCUAAGGUUAAUUUAUCAAAGAAAGAAAAAAUUUUUAAAUAAAUUUAGAGUAGCAAGUUUAUAAAAUCUACAGUAGUAUACAGUAAUAUCCUAGUACUUUACAUUAACUCACCACUCACCCACCAGGGCAGCUUCCAGUCUCUCAAGCUCCAUUUGUGGUAAGUGCCCUAUACAGGUGUACUGUUUUUAUAUCCUUUAUACCAUUUUUACUGAACCUUUUCUAUGUUAGAUACACAAAUACCAUUGUGUUACAGUCAUCUAUGAUACUGAAUACAGCAAUAUGCUGUGCUGGUUUGUAGCGUAGGAGGUGUAACAUGUAGCCUAGAUGUGUAGUGAGCUAUACUAUCUAGGUUUGUGUAAGUAUAUUGUAUGAUACAAUGAUGAAAUCACCCAGAUGCAGUUUCUUUUAAGCAACACAGUACUGUAUAUAGGUGGUUUGAAUAAUAAAAUAGUGAAGUGUAUUUUUUUUUCUGUCAUUCAUAAAACAGUUACCAAUCUUAGGAAUUAGAUCAACUACAAAACAAAAAUCUCACUCAAAAAUCAAAAUUUAUAAGUUCCAUUUCCUUGGUUACAAUUCAUUAGAACUAGAAUUUUUUUUUAAAUGUCCAAAUUUAUAUGGAAAUAAAAAACCAUGUUUUAAAUAGUUUUUGAAUAAAUGAGGAAAUGUAAACUUACAUUAGAAAUUAAGAUUAAUAAGUAGUGAUUUAUAAAGGCAAAAAUGUACCAUUUGAACUAAUCUAAAUACCGAUUGCAUGAAAAUGCCAAUAAAGGCUGGGCGCGGUGGCUCAAGCCUGUAAUCCCAGCACUUUGGGAGGUCGAGGCAGGUGGAUCAUGAGGUCAAGAGAUUGAGACCAUCCUGGUCAACAUGGUGAAACCCUGUCUCUACUAAAAAUACAAAAAAUUAGCUGAGCACGCCUAUAAUCCCAGCUACUCGGGAGGCUGAGGCAGGAGAAUUGCCUGAACCCAGGAGGCGAAGGUUGUGGUGAGCCGAGAUCAUACCAUUGGACUCCAGCCUGGGUAACAGCAGCGAAACUCCAUCUCAAAAAAAAAAAAAAAGAAAAUGCCAAUGAAAUCAAUACAUAUUUUUAAGCCAGUCAAGGAAAAAAGAAAAGAGGGAAACUAAAAACAAGAUAUUAAGUAUGAGAAAGGAGAUAAAACUACAGUGUGGAGAUGAUGUUAAACAUUAUAUUCACAUUUGUGCUAACCAUUUUGGAAAUUUCAAAGAGAAAUGGGCAAUUUUCAGUGAAUAUGUCAUCAUAAAUGUUUUAAGGCAAGAGAAGAAAAUCUGACUAGAUCCUACAAUAAUGAAAAUGUCUAGGAGCCCUCAAGAAAUAUUUGGUUUAAAUUGCAUUUCAGGUGAUUGCUUAUCAAACCUUGAAGUAUCAAAUAAUUAUGUUAUCUAAAUUGGACCAGGUGAUAGAAAAUAUGUAAGAUUUAACUGGUGCCUGCUUAUGUAGCCCUUAUACCUUAAUCUGAUAAAAUAGCAUAUAUUUAAAAAGAGAGAAAACCAGAAGGUACAAUUCAGGGAAAAUUUUUUUUUUUCCAUUUGGCCAAAGUAAGAGUACAUUCAAGGGAAUUGUGAGAGGUAAGAGUGGAAAAAGAGGUUGGAGCUAUAUUUUUAUGCUGUGAUUGAAUUAUAGUGUGUGAUAAAUUGCUCUUGUUUCGGUAGAAUACCAUUUAACAUUUUGAAUUAAUUGGCAAUUGGAUUAAUAUUAAUUUUAAAAAGUCAGAGAGUGGUGUAAAGGAUGGAUUACAGAAUAGAUAAAGGGUGAUAAAUAAAUCAGUUGGCUCUGGCAGAAUUGCAGGAAGAAAUGGAAAUAGGCCAUAGAAAACCGAAGCUGACGUUUUGAGUAGUAUUUCAGAAUCAAAAUCUGGAUUUCGUCAACUGAAUAGAUGUGUAGGAAUCAAAGAUGAGUAGAUUAAUAAACUUAAUUUUUGAUUUGUCUCUCAUUUUAGUUUGUAACAUUAGUGUGUAUGCAUGUAUGUAUGUGCCAGGUAGUUAAUACGCUGUGUCUCUUACCUCCAUUCUGCUGCCUGAGCUUUUGCCAUAGUGCUGGAGUUCCCUCACUUCUCUUUCUGUAGCUCUUUUAUAUCACUGCUGUCUUUCAGCUAUGUUUCCUUCCUCAAGCAGAAAGAAGAUGGCAGGAUCAUAUAGUAGUUGACUAGAAGCUGUGGAUGUAGUUGCUAACUAGUGCUGGGAUAAUAUCUACUAUAUCUGUGCAUAUAGUAGUUGACUAGUGCUAGGAUGAUACCUAGUUCCAUUACUUAUGAAGAUAAAUGACCUUUCUUCAUCUAUAAAAUGUUUUAUCAAUAUUACCCUUCUUAUAUGGUUUUAUGAGUAUUAAAUUAUGCAUUUCUAAAGACAUUAGAGCAAUAUAAAGAAUAUGGUAUGGGCUCAAUAAGCAGUGGUGGUAGUAGUUAUUAGAAGGCCAUCUAGUACUGAAGAAAAUAGUGAAUAUCACUGAUGGAAGUAAGGAAGGUUUUCCGUAUAAAAAAGCUUUGGUUUUUGGAAAUGUGUAUUUUAAGUAUUUCUGAGAUUACCAGAUAGAAAUUCCAGCCAGAUGUUGGAAUUAUGCCCUGGCAGUUGGGAAUAAAGUCAUAUUGAGGGAGAUGAGGUUUGGAGUUAUUAUGUAAAACUGGAUAAUUAAAGCACUGGAAUAGAUUGGAUUGACAGAGGGGAAAAUCUUUUGAGAUAUGCCUAUAUUUAACAAUAAGAGAAGAGACAACCAAUAGAGGUUGGAAGAACCUUAAGAGAGUAAGUCCUAUGACACAAGCAGGGUAGUUUCAGAAUGGGUGCAGAAAAAUCAGCCAGACUCGUCCUAUUCUCCAUCAUGGUGCAGGAUCAAGGUGAAAAAGAGAACCCCAUGCAGGAACUUUUCAUGUGCAGACUCUGCCUCAACAUAUUUUUAGGAGAAACUGGAGACAGACUGACCUGAGUAACCAAGGUGUUGGAACAGCUCACAGACCAGAACCCUGCAUGUUUUCCAAAGCUAGGUGACUGUUAGAUCCUUUGGCAACAGGAGAAAUGAAAAGACUGCUGUCUGCUGCACAUUUCGAGGGGUCAAGGCAGAAGAAAUCCUGGAGAAAGGUCUAAAGGUGCACGAGUGUGAAUUAAGAAAAAAUAACUUCUCAGAUACUGGAAAUUUUGGCUUUGGGAUCUAAGAAAACAUCGAUUUGGGUAUCAAAUACGACCCAAGCAUUGGUAUCUACAGCCUGGACUUCUGUGUGGUGCUGGAUAAGCCAGGUUUCAUCAUUGCAAAUAAGAAGUGCAGGACAGGCUGCACUGGGGCCAAACAGAAUCAAUAAAGAGGAGGCCAUGUGCUGAUUCCAGCAGAAGUAUGAUGGGAUCAUCCUUCUUGGCAAAAAAAUUCUCAUUUCUACCCAAGAGGCCAAUAAAAAGUGUUCAGUAAAAUGUUUUAAAAAAAAUCAGCCAGUAGCCAGGAUUGAACUGUGAAAACAGUAGGAAAUUGGUUGUUGAGAAAGCACCUUUAAGAAAUCAGCCUCAGCUGGGCAUGGUGGUGCAUGCCUGUAAUCCCAAUACUUUGGGAGGCUGAGGCAGAUUUCUUGAGUCCAGGAGUUUGAGGCCAGCCUGGGCAACAUAGCAAAAUGCUCAUUUCUACUAAAUAAAUAGAUAACCUUCAUUUCUACUAAAUAAAUAAGCAGACAAGCAGGGCUUGGUGUUAAUGCUCCUGUACUCCCAGCUACUCAGGAGGCUGAGGCAGUUGAACCUGGGAGGCAGAGGUUGCAGUGAACCAAGAUUGCACUACUGCACUCCAGCCUGGGUGACAGAGUGAGACUAUGGCACCCCUCUCCCCUCCAAAAAGAAAUCAGCCUCAUAGUAACCAGUUUCUCUGGAUUAAGGAGUAAGAGCUUCUCAAGAAUUGCUAAUUUUUUUUUUUUUUUGAGACAGUUUCGCUCUUGUUACCCAGACUGCUGGAGUGCAAUGGCGCGAUCUCGGCUCACCGCAACCUCUGCCUCCUGGGUUCAGGCAAUUCUCCUGCCUCAGCCUCCUGAGUAGCUGGGAUUACAGGCACGUGCCACCAUGCCCAGCUAAUUUUUUUGUAUUUUUAGUAGAGACGGGAUUUCACCAUGUUGACCAGGAUGGUCUCGAUCUCUUGACCUCGUGAUCCACCCGCCUCAGCCUCCCAAAGUGCUGGGAUUACAGGUUUGAGCCACCGUGCCUGGCCAAGAAUUGCUAUUUAUAGAGACAGAGGCUGAUAGUUUGAGAGAGAUACAGAAUCUAGGGAGAGUGUGGGUUUUUGGUCUUUCAGUUUUUUGUCAGCUCUGGAUAAAAAAUAAAGAUUAUCUGAGCAUAUUAUUUAGAGACAGGUGGAAAGAAUAAAGGCACAUGCCAGAUAGUAGAUAAUUAAUAAAGCACUUGCCCACAAUAGACCCAUGUUGAACAGGAAAAGACAUCAAGCAUGAAGAGAUUUUAAGAUGGGAGAAUGGAAUUUUGAGUGUUCAUAUUGGAUGAUCUCAGGGUUCCCAGUAAAAUGGGAGCUGAAUUCAUUGAAGAUGAUGUGUUGGUCAGGAUAAAAAUUGAGGUUGGGAGAACAAAGUGCUAAAAAUCAUUGUGGUCAAGAGUUUAAUAAAUGUAUACCAGAAGAGUUAUUGAGUGAUAUGGGUUUGAAAUAGUCAAAGGUAUAGGAAAGAGGGCUGGAAGGAAUAUUAGGAGCACUAAAUGUAAUAACUUUUGAGGUCCACCACCUGGUCUGUGAACAUAAAGGAGUUGAAAGAGUAAUGGUUGACUUUUGAGAUGAUGGCCAGGAAUGUGAUGCUAAGUCAACAUGAAGAAUGCUAACUUUAGCUAAAGUUAGAAUGUGUUUAAAGUUGUAUUUGAGCAAAAAAGGUUAAGGAUACAGUUGCCUGUUUGAUAAUGUGAAAGCUAGGAAUGUCAACCCCCUGCACAGUUGAAAAUCUGCAUAAAACUUUUGAGUCCCUAAAAACUUAACUACUAAUAGCCCACUGUUGACCAGAAGCCCUACCCAUAACAUAAACAGUCAAUAACACACAUUUUGUAUAUAUAUUCUUACAAUAAACUAGACAAAAGAACAUGUAUUAAGAAAAUCAUAAGGAAGAGAAAAUACAUUUACAGUACUCUACUGUAUUUAUUGGUACCAUACAUUUAUGUGUACUGUUUACAAGGUGAAGCAUCUGUCUGAAAUGGCCAGCAGCUACAGCUGUACAUAUCUACUGUACAUAUCAAGCAAGUGAACUUAUUCUUAAAAUGUCAUGACUUUUCUCUACUUCUUGAGAGCACUUCCAUCAGCACUAUUGGCACCUCUUAUGGGUCUCAGGGUGUUACAGUUUACGGAGUUGCACUAAACACAAUGAAAAAUACACAAAGAACCAUGAGAGGGAUAGCUUUUUAUUGCAAUACACAAUUUACUGGAGAGAAGAGCUGCUUAUACAGAGAUGAUUAGUGUCACACAGUGCUUUAAACAGAUUCUUGCAACCCUUGAGCUCAUUGCAGUAGCCACAGAAGGUAGCUAUGAGAUUUUAACAGUAGUAUAGUUUGUACUACAGUUAAUAUUAUGUUGCUAUGAUUUAAUGCUGCGUCUUUGCAUUUGUUUGCGUGGUAUGUCUGGUCUUAAAAGUUUGUAUGUGUAUGUUUUAAUGCAUUUUAACUUUUUAUAAUAGACUUGUGUAUUCAUAACAUAGACUUAACUUUUUCUUAAUUUUUUGAUAUUUCUAGGCUAUGUAUUUCAUCUGCAGGUUUUUUCAAAUUGUUGCAAAUCUCUGAAAAAAUACAUUGAAAAAAAUCCAUAUAUAUAUAUGGACCCACACAUUUCAAAAGUGUUCAAGGGUCAGCUGUAUAAAUAAUUUUCUUCACAAUUAAAGUGAAAAAGGAGAGAUACUACUAGUAGAAAGUAGAACUAUACCCUCAGAAUGUGUGUGUGUGUGUGUGUGUGUGUGUGUGUGUGUAUACACAUAUAUAGUUACAGAUAAAUUUAACUUAAAAGUUCGUGGUUAGAGAAUAAAACUGGCCCUUAAUAGUCUUAAUUUACAUAAAAUAGGAAAAAUUUUAGGCCAGGCGCAGUGGCUCAUGCCUGUAAUCCCAGCACUUUGGGAGGCCAAGGUGAGCAGAUUACUUGAGGUCAAAAGUUCAAGACCAGCCUGGCCAACAUGGUGAAGCCCCAUCUCUACUAAAAAUUAGCCAGGUGCAGUGAAACAUGCUUAUAAUCCCAGCUACUCAAGAAGCUGAGGCGGGAAAAUUGUUUGAACCUGGGAGGUGAAGGUUGCAGUGAGUUGAGUUUGUGCUACUGCACUCCAGACUGAGCGACAGAGUGAGACUCCGUCUCACACCCCACCCCAAAAAAAGAAAAAUUAGAAAACAUAGAGUAUUUUUUAAUCUCCAAGAGCUUUAAAGUUCAACCCUUUAUUCAUAUGUAUAAGCUUCUUCUGUAAAAUUUUAAUUCAGUAGGGACUUCCCAUUCAUUUGAAAUCCUAUAUUGCAAAUAUUAAUUCAGUUUUAGUGAGUUUGCAAAUGAGGCCUAGAAUGAGGAGGUCACAUUGGAGACUCUGCAACAGAUACAUGUGAGCCUCCUAACUUUAAAAUUUUUGUUAGUCUAGAAGUGUUGAAUUUCUGGUGCUGACAAGGCAGCAGGUAGAUAAAAAUUGCAAAGUUAAGAAAUAGACUAAUUAUGCAUAAUUUUGAUGGUAAGCUAAUUGAUUAAAUUUUAAAAUGUGCUUUUCCAUGUUUUUCUUAGAAUUGUCAGUAAUUUUAGUUCAACUGUAUGUAUUCAUACAUAAAUUAUUUACCCAGUGUUGACAACUUGUAGAUGUAUAUAUUCUUUAUGUAUUUGCCUAGCCUUUUUUUGGGUAAGGAUUAACAGAAUGCAUAAACGCCUACAUUAUAGGUGCACUACUAAUCACUUGUUACUUGAAAAAUCCCAAAGCUUUGAAAUCUUUUUAUUAUUGCACACAAACCUCUGCCAGAAAUGGAGAUAAAGAGAAAAAUGUCAUCAACUAAACCCCAACAAAGAAUAAGUUGGUAAUGUGGCCAAAAAAUUCACAUGCUUCAGAAAAGUGCCCCUCCCACUCAUCUUCCAUGUGCUAUUUCUUUCAGCCAACCUACUUAGCAAUUCUAUAUUUAUCUUAAUAAACAUGAAUGACAGUUGUUUAAGUUAUAUUAAAUGUGAUGUAAUAAAUCAUUUUGUUUACAUUUUUAACUUUAAUUUUUAAUGUUUUAAUGAGGAGUAGUACUGCUCUUCCAAGUACUACUGCUGUACCUUACCUUUUGCUGUUAAGAACGUUAUAUAGAAAUAAAAUUCCAGCUAUUCUAAAACUGUACCUUAAACAGGUACAGAAUUGCUAAAACUCUGCACCAUUUUAUAGUUUUAGUAUGCUUUUGUAUAACUGCAUCUGAUCUUUGAUCCUCAUAGUAACCCUGUUAAGAAGGAAGGGUACAUAUUAUUGCCCUUGUUUUCUUUAAAAAACACAUAAGAGUUUGUAUUUUGACUGUCAGCAUUCAAAUUAAGUCUUUUGAUUAUAAAAUAUAUGGUCUUUACACUGUAGCCAAAAUCUUACAUCAGUUGUCAUGAUUUAAAAUGGUUUAUACCUAUUUUUUGGACAUUUAUACACAUAUACAUGUUUUUAAAUUUACGUAAUAAAAUCAUGCUCAUCUUUGAAAAGAUACUAGAAAUAUUACAGUGGAUCCCUACAUACUUGCUAUUCGACGUACCUGGUUUUUUGUUUGUUUUUCCAGACAGAGUCUCUUUCUGUCUUCCAGGCUGGAAGGCAGUGGCAUGAUCUCGGCUCAUUGCAACCUCCGUCUCCCAGGAUUAAGUGAUUUCUCGUGCCUCAGCCUCCCAAGUAGCUGGGACUACAGGUGCACACCACCACACCCAGCCAUUUUUUUGUAUUUUUGGUAGAGAUGGGGUUUCACCAUGUUGGCCAGGCUGUACUUGAACUCCUGACCUCAAGUGAUCAGCAAGCCUCGGCCUCCCAAAGUGCUGGGAUUACAGGUGUGAGCCACUGCGCUUGGCCCAUUUUAAAAUAUGCUUUAUACUUUUCAUUAGGGAGAAGAAGGAUAUUUGUGUCCAGAAUUUUUAACACAUUGGGGAGAUUUAGAUGCCAGUAGUAACUUAAAGAGAAAUUAUUGCAAAUUCUUUUUCCUCUUGAGUAUACUUUCAUUUAAAGUAGUUUUCUGUAAGUUGCUUUGCACAGUUAAACUUCUUAAUGUUGUUUAUUAUUUGCCUUAUAUUUCUAGGUUGAAUUUUUCUUAAGUCACGUGUCUAAAUAGAAAACCCCCUAAAUGCCUCAUUUAUUCAGUAUCGUUAGUGAAUGUAUUGUUGUACAUAUUAGAUUUUUCCUUUUAGAUAACUCAGUUUCCCCUAUUAAAUGCCAUGUGUAUUAUAUAUAUUUAUGUUUUAUUUUUUAGUAAACUCUUGAGAACUAGAUAUAUUGUAAUCAUUUGUAAUACUUACAUUUUUAAAAACAUUUUGUUUUUCCCUGGUUUCUUCAACAAAGAGAUACAUGUUGUACAGGGAUAGCUUUACCUCUGUUGGAGGAUUGUUGCACACAUUUACAUCAACUACAUCUGUUUUUGCUGGGCUCCUAAGGCCAGCAUUACUUUUUGCUACUGCUGUUUCUGCCUGCUAAAGGCAAUAUGCCUCGAUCUAGUUUGCUGAUUCUGAUAUGCUUUCCCCUGGAAAGUAGGUAAUCAAGUUUGUAAGGAACUGUGUGUUUAAGGAGUCUAUAAAUCCUUAUGAGGAACACUAGGUGUAAAAAGUAUAGCUGUAGGGCAGAGGCCUUUGACACUUAUUUUGCAUAUGCAGUGGCCUUUGCCUAUGGGGUUCAUGGGUCAGAGCACUGUUGUGACCUUUGAAUAAAUGGGGUGUUAUGAUAAUUAUUUUAAGGGAGAAGAGUAAUUCCGAUAUUAUCCUUCGUAUUAACAUUGCUCUAAUUUAUUACUGAGCUGGAUUUAAGUAUUAAUCAUUUAAGAUCAAAUUUCUAAUGUAUAUAUGUUCUUCAAUGGUUACAACCCAGUUACCAUAGCAAUUUAGUGAAAUAACUAUAAUGGAACAUUUUUUUUGAAUUUGGCUUCUCUUUUUUUUUUCU